rnacentral:rRNA from 1 species
ACCCUGAUCUAGCCAUGCCGCGUGAGUGAUGAAGGCCUUAGGGUUGUAAAGCUCUUUCAGCUGUGAAGAUAAUGACGGUAGCAGCAGAAGAAGUCCCGGCUAACUCCGUGCCAGCAGCCGCGGUAA